GUCCGAGUGGCCGAAGGAGCAUGAUUGGAAAUCAUGUGUACGGGAAACUGUACCGAGGGUUCAAAUCCCUCUCUCUCCGCCA
rnacentral:tRNA from 1 species